CCUAACACAUGCAAGUCGAACGGUAACAGGAAGAAGCUUGCUUCUUUGCUGACGAGUGGCGGACGGGUGAGUAAUGUCUGGGAAACUGCCUGAUGGAGGGGGAUAACUACUGGAAACGGUAGCUAAUACCGCAUAACGUCGCAAGACCAAAGAGGGGGACCUUCGGGCCUCUUGCCAUCGGAUGUGCCCAGAUGGGAUUAGCUAGUAGGUGGGGUAACGGCUCACCUAGGCGACGAUCCCUAGCUGGUCUGAGAGGAUGACCAGCCACACUGGAACUGAGACACGGUCCAGACUCCUACGGGAGGCAGCAGUGGGGAAUAUUGCACAAUGGGCGCAAGCCUGAUGCAGCCAUGCCGCGUGUAUGAAGAAGGCCUUCGGGUUGUAAAGA
rnacentral:rRNA from 1 species